rnacentral:rRNA from 1 species
UACGUAGGGCGCAAGCGUUAUUCGGAAUUACUGGGCGUAAAGCGCACGUAGGCGGCUUUGUAAGUAAGAGGUGAAAGCCCAGAGCUCAACUCUGGAAUUGCCUUUUAGACUGCAUCGCUUGAAUCAUGGAGAGGUCAGUGGAAUUCCGAGUGUAGAGGUGAAAUUCGUAGAUAUUCGGAAGAACACCAGUGGCGAAGGCGGCUGACUGGACAUGUAUUGACGCUGAGGUGCGAAAGCGUGGGGAGCAAACAGG